AUCAUUUGCUUAUCUCUCAUGAUUCUGUGGACUAACUGGGCUCAGCUCGGCAGUACUUUUGUUCUAUGCAGAUUUUCUCUGCAGCUACAGUCCACUGGCGCUUGGCCAGGCUGGAACGGCCGGGAUGCCUCACUUACAUGUUUGGUGUCCUGGCAGGGAUGGCUGGGGGGAUGGGCUCAGUGGGGGUGUUUGGUCAACUGGGCUCCCCUUCCAGGUAGUCUCAGCACCUUUCAGGCUAGAGUGGACAUCAGUUGACUUUGCCUGCCAUGGUAGAGACUUUCAGUCAUCCACCAUAAUCCAUCCCCAUUCUGCUGCACAGAAGUAUUGUGGCUGAGACACCUGCUUUUCUCCACCCCUCUAGUUAAUGUGACUAAAUUCUCCCUAUGGAAUGGGAAUGGAA
rnacentral:lncRNA from 1 species